rnacentral:rRNA from 1 species
CCCUUAGAUGUUCUGGGCUGCACACGUGCUACACUGGCAGGUUCAGCGAGCUUCAUGCCCUGAUCUGAAAGGAAUGGGAAAUCUUUUCAAAACCUGCCGUGCUUGGGAUAGAUGUUUGCAAUUAUUCAUCUUCAACGAGGAUUGCCUUGUAAGCGCACGUCAUCAGCGUGCAUUGAAUACGACCCUGUAUUCCGUACACACCGCCCGUCGCUCCUACCGAUUGAAGUUUUCGGUGAGUUGACAGGAGGAUUUUUUUGAAACUGGUUCGCCAGUGGAUUUUAGAUCCAAAUGCCAACGAAUCGAUGGCUUUAGAGGAAGGAGAAGUCGUAACA